UAGUCCACGCCCUAAACGAUGUUUACUCGAUGUUUGGCACUUGUUGUUGAGCAUCCAAGGGAAACCAUUAAGUAAACCACCUGGGGAGUACGUCGGCAACGAUGAAACUCAAAGGAAUUGACGGGGUCCGCACAAGCGGUGGAGCAUGUGGUUUAAUUCGAUGAUACGCGAGGAACCUUACCUAGGCUCUAAUGUUAGUGAUCGAUGCUGAAAGGCAUUUUUCCUUCGGGACACGAAACAAGGUGCUGCAUGGUUGUCGUCAGCUCGUGCCGUGAGGUGUUGGGUUAAGUCCCGCAACGAGUGCAACCCUUAUCACUAGUUGCCAGCAUUUAAGGUGGGGACUCUAGUGAGACUGCCGGCGUAAGCCGUGAGGAAGGUGGGGAUGACGUCAAAUCAUCAUGGCCUUUAUGCCUAGGGGCUACACACGUGCUACAAUGGCGAGUACAGAGGGUAGCGAAGCCGCAAGGUGGAGCCAAUCUCAUAAAACUCGUCCAGUUCGGAUUGCAC
rnacentral:rRNA from 1 species